UACGUAGGGUGCAAGCGUUGUCCGGAAUUAUUGGGCGUAAAGAGCUUGUAGGCGGUUUGUCGCGUCUGCUGUGAAAUUUCGGGGCUCAACCCCGAACUUGCAGUGGGUACGGGCAGACUAGAGUGUGGUAGGGGAGACUGGAAUUCCUGGUGUAGCGGUGAAAUGCGCAGAUAUCAGGAGGAAUACCGGUGGCGAAAGCGACUCUCUGGACGGUAACUGACGCUGAGGCACGAAAGCGUGGGGAGCAAACAGG
rnacentral:rRNA from 1 species